rnacentral:rRNA from 1 species
UACGUGAGAGGCAAGCGUUAUUCGUCAUUAAUGGGUCUAAAGCGUGCGCAGGCGGUUCGUUGUGUCGGUGGUGAAAUCCCCGGGCUUAACCUGGGAAUGGCCAUGGAAACUGGCGAACUGGAGUGCGGCAGAGGGGGGUGGAAUUCCGCGUGUAGCAGUGAAAUGCGUAGAGAUGCGGAGGAACACCGAUGGCGAAGGCAGCCCCCUGGGCUAGCACUGACGCUCAGGCACGAAAGCGUGGGGAGCAAACAGG